GAUGAACGCUAGCGGCAGGCUUAACACAUGCAAGUCGAGGGGUAGAGGAAGCUUGCUUCCUUGAGACCGGCGCACGGGUGCGUAACGCGUAUGCAACCUACCUUUUACAGAGGGAUAGCCCAGAGAAAUUUGGAUUAAUACCUCAUGGUAUAUAUCAUUCGCAUGUUUGAUAUAUUAAAGUUCCAACGGUAAAAGAUGGGCAUGCGUCCUAUUAGCUAGAUGGUAAGGUAACGGCUUACCAUGGCAACGAUAGGUAGGGGUCCUGAGAGGGAGAUCCCCCACACUGGUACUGAGACACGGACCAGACUCCUACGGGAGGCAGCAGUGAGGAAUAUUGGACAAUGGGCGCAAGCCUGAUCCAGCCAUGCCGCGUGCAGGAAGAAGCAUCUAUGGUGUGUAAACUGCUUUUGUACGGGAAGAAACACUCCUUCGUGAAGGAGCUUGACGGUACCGUAAGAAUAAGGAUCGGCUAACUCCGUGCCAGCCGCCGCGGUAA
rnacentral:rRNA from 1 species